AUUGAACGCUGGCGGCAUGCUUUACACAUGCAAGUCGAACGGCAGCGCGGGCUUCGGCCUGGCGGCGAGUGGCGAACGGGUGAGUAAUACAUCGGAACGUGCCCAGUAGUGGGGGAUAGCUCGGCGAAAGCCGGAUUAAUACCGCAUACGACCUGAGGGUAAAAGCGGAGGAUCUUCGGACCUCGCGCUAUUGGAGCGGCCGAUGGCAGAUUAGCUAGUUGGUAGGGUAAAGGCCUACCAAGGCGACGAUCUGUAGCUGGUCUGAGAGGACGACCAGCCACACUGGGACUGAGACACGGCCCAGACUCCUACGGGAGGCAGCAGUGGGGAAUUUUGGACAAUGGGCGAAAGCCUGAUCCAGCAAUGCCGCGUGUGUGAUGAAGGCCUUCGGGUUGUAAAGCACUUUUGGCGGGAACGAAAAGGACUGUGCCAAUACCACGGUUCGAUGACGGUACCCGCAGAAUAAGCACCGGCUAACUACGUG
rnacentral:rRNA from 1 species